rnacentral:rRNA from 1 species
GAUGAACGCUGGCGGCGUGCUUAACACAUGCAAGUCGAACGAAGCACUUCAUAAAGUUUACUUUAAGAAGUGACUUAGUGGCGGACGGGUGAGUAACGCGUGGGUAACCUGCCUUACACAGGGGGAUAACAGUUAGAAAUGACUGCUAAUACCGCAUAAAACAGCAGAGUCGCAUGACUCAACUGUCAAAGAUUUAUCGGUGUAAGAUGGACCCGCGUCUGAUUAGCUGGUUGGUGGGGUAACGGCCUACCAAGGCGACGAUCAGUAGCCGGCCUGAGAGGGUGAACGGCCACAUUGGGACUGAGACACGGCCCAAACUCCUACGGGAGGCAGCAGUGGGGAAUAUUGGACAAUGGGCGAAAGCCUGAUCCAGCGACGCCGCGUGAGCGAUGAAGUAUUUCGGUAUGUAAAGCUCUAUCAGCAGGG